ACUUGUAUUUUUCACCACACCCUUUAUUUCUGUAGUGCAUUAAUUAUAAAGGUGUUAAUUAGCGUCUUGAUGCAGUUAUUUCAUCAUGGACGAGAAAUUUUUUGGUAUUACGCGCACCUAACGCACUUUAUUCUUAAGCAUUAAAAAUAAUGGAGAAAUUUUUAAGCUUUUUUAUAUACUUUAUGAAACUUAAAUGCUAUCGUUUUUUAAACCCGUAUUUUUUCCUUUCAUAAAAUAAAUCGGUUUUUGCACUACCAAGAUUCACAAUUUUAGGGCAUCCAUCUCUCUAAAAAAAUUAUAAGCAACGUAUACUCUAUAGUAACAUGCAAUUCAAGUUUGCAUUCUACAUCUUUUUCGCAUUGCACACAUUCCUUGCAAUAAUACGCAUCCGAAAUUCCCUGACCUCCACAUAUUACGCAACGUCCCUUAAGCAUCAAAAAUUAUUAAACGAAAACUAUCUGCAUUUGUGUUAGGGCGCACGUAUGAAUCACAAAUUGGGCAUUUGCCUUCGCAUUUUUCACAUAACCGUCCUAUAGCUACGAGAGGGUGUACUACUCGUGUUGAAGAUUAGCAUGACGUACCAGUUCCAGGCUGCUUACGGCACAUAAUCAAAUCGGGAUCUAAAUAAAAGUGGUAUAUCAGGUAAAAACAUUGUAAAAAUGUUCUUACGAUGUUUCGCCAUGUUGUUUGUAAAACAAAAUCUUCAAAUUUUGGGGAACAAUCCAAGAAAACUAUGAAUUUUAAAGGUGAGGUUUAACAGAUAUGAGUCUAAUGUGUAGUCAUCAGAAAUUAUC